AGAGCGAACGCUGGCGGCAGGCUUAACACAUGCAAGUCGAGCGCCGUAGCAAUACGGAGCGGCAGACGGGAGAGUAACACGUGGGAACGUACCUUUCAGUUCGGAACAACCCAGGGAAACUUGGGCUAAUACCGGAUACGCCCUUACGGGGAAAGAUUUAUCGCUGAAAGAUCGGCCCGCGUCUGAUUAGCUAGUUGGUGGGGUAACGGCCCACCAAGGCUACGAUCAGUAGCUGGUCUGAGAGGAUGAUCAGCCUCACUGGGACUGAGACACGGCCCAGACUCCUACGGGAGGCAGCAGUGGGGAAUAUUGGACAAUGGGCGCAAGCCUGAUCCAGCCAUGCCGCGUGGAUGAUGAAGGCCCUAGGGUUGUAAAGUCCUUUCGGCGGGGAAGAUAAUGACGGUACCCGCAGAAGAAGCCCCGGCUAACUUCGUGCCAGCAGCCGC
rnacentral:rRNA from 1 species